rnacentral:rRNA from 1 species
AUGGAUACACACCCAUCUAUUGUAUGUUGGAACAUGCGAGGGUUGAACAAUCCGGCGAAAAGGAAGGCGGUUAAGGAGUUCCUAGAUACCACUAAAGCUAGCUUAGUUUGUCUUCAAGAAACCAAGAUGGAUGUAAUAGAUUCCUUUGUAGUAAUGCAACGCAUGGGGCCGUCGUUUGACGGAUUUGCGUACUUGCCGGCGAUGGAGACUCAUGGUGGCAUUCUUUUAGCAUGGAACUCUUCGGUGAUUGACGUGCAAAACCUACAAAUGGACAUGAUCUCACUCACUGGUAUGGUUUGCCCAAGGGUGGGAGUGGCGUGGUGGGUUACUGUUGUGUAUGGACCACAAGGAGAUGCUAGAAAAACUAGCUUUCUCGCAGAGUUGGCGCAGAGAAGGAUGUUUUGCCUAGGGCCGUGGAUGGUGCUUGGCAAUUUUAACAUGAUCUUGAGAGCUUCGGAGAAGAAUAAGGCGAACAUCAACAGGAACAUGAUGAACAGGUUCCGACAGUUUGUGGACGAUCAGGAGCUUAAGGAGUUGUACAUGCACGAACGCUUAUUCACGUGGAUGAAUGAAAGGGCCAGCCCGACAUUAACUAAAAUCAACAGAGUACUCGUAACAGUCGACUGGGAGUUGGAAUACCCGGACUGCUUACUUCAAGCGCUGUCCACUGGCAUCUCCGAUCAUGCACCUCUCUUUCUAACAACAUGUGCGCCUUUUGCCUAG